CGUUCGCCGGAAGACCAAGGGUUCCUGUCCAACGUUAAUCGGGGCAGGGUGAGUCGGCCCCUAAGGCGAGGCUGAAAAGCGUAGUCGAUGGGAAACGGGUUAAUAUUCCCGUACUUGGAUAAACUGCGAUGUGGGGACGGAGCAGGUUAGGUUAUCGCACUGUUGGAUAUGUGCGUUUAAGUUGGUAGGUGUGAAGUUUAGGCAAAUCCGGACUUCUUUAACACUGAGAGAUGAUGACGAGGCUCUACGGAGCUGAAGUAACCGAUACCACACUUCCAGGAAAAGCCACUAAGCUUCAGGUUUAUCUAAACCGUACUGAAAACCGACACAGGUGGUCAGGUAGAGAAUACUCAGGCGCUUGAGAGAACUCGGGUGAAGGAACUAGGCAAAAUAGCACCGUAACUUCGGGAGAAGGUGCGCCGGCGUAGAUUGUAGUCCCUAGCGGGCGAAGGUUGAACCGGUCGAAGAUACCAGCUGGCUGCAACUGUUUAUUAAAAACACAGCACUCUGCAAACACGAAAGUGGACGUAUAGGGUGUGAUGCCUGCCCGGUGCUGGAAGGUUAAUUGAUGGUGUAAUCGAAAGAGAAGCUCCUGAUCGAAGCCCCAGUAAACGGCGGCCGUAACUAUAACGGUCCUAAGGUAGCGAAAUUCCUUGUCGGGUAAGUUCCGACCUGCACGAAUGGCAUAAUGAUGGCCAGGCUGUCUCCACCCGAGACUCAGUGAAAUUGAAAUCGCCGUGAAGAUGCGGUGUACCCGCGGCUAGACGGAAAGACCCCGUGAACCUUUACUAUAGCUUGACACUGAACAUUGAAUUUUGAUGUGUAGGAUAGGUGGGAGACUUUGAAGUAGUCACGCCAGUGAUUAUGGAGUCGUCCUUGAAAUACCACCCUUUAACGUUUGAUGUUCUAACGAAGAUUACGAAACGUGGUCUCGGACAGUGUCUGGUGGGUAGUUUGACUGGGGCGGUCUCCUCCCAAAGAGUAACGGAGGAGCACGAAGGUUUGCUAAUCACGGUCGGACAUCGUGAGGUUAGUGCAAUGGUAUAAGCAAGCUUAACUGCGAGACAGACAAGUCGAGCAGGUACGAAAGUAGGUCAUAGUGAUCCGGUGGUUCUGAAUGGAAGGGCCAUCGCUCAACGGAUAAAAGGUACUCCGGGGAUAACAGGCUGAUACCGCCCAAGAGUUCAUAUCGACGGCGGUGUUUGGCAC
rnacentral:rRNA from 1 species